UACAGAGGGUGCAAGCGUUAAUCGGAAUUACUGGGCGUAAAGCGUGCGUAGACGGUUAUGUAAGUUAAGUGUGAAAGCCCCGGGCUCAACCUGGGAAUUGCAUUUAAGACUGCAUAGCUAGGGUGCGGAAGAGGGAAGCGGAAUUUCCGGUGUAGCGGUGAAAUGCGUAGAUAUCGGAAGGAACACCAGUGGCGAAAGCGGCUUCCUGGUCCAGCACCGACGUCAGGCACGAAAGCGUGGGGAGCAAACAGG
rnacentral:rRNA from 1 species